UGGGUCUUAAUAUGUUUUCUGUUGCAUUCUGAGAGAAGAUUUCUGAACUCUGAAUUAAAAUGCAGGCUUGUGAGCUUAGAAAGGAGGGAAAAUGCAUCUGUUUUCCCCUCUGCAAUCUGAUUUAUUUAUUUAUUUAUUGUAUUUGUUGGAGACAGUGUUUGGGUUGUGGGUGUCUUUAGGAGGCAGUUAAUGUGGUUGUGAGGUUGUGUGUCCAGUUGUAGCUUUGAUGUGAGAAGAAGUGUGGCGUUGGGCACAUCCCAUCCUCCAUCCCCACCCCCAUCUGCUGCACUUUUACUCUAUCUAUCUAUCUAUCUAUCUAUCUAUCUAUCUAUCUAUCUAUCUAUCUAUCUAUCUAUCUAUCUAUCUAUCUAUCUAUCUAUCUAUCUAUCUAUCUAUCUAUCUAUCUAUCUAUCUAUCUAUCUAUCUAUCUAUCUAUCUAUCUAUCGUCUGCGUUCAUUUUGCUCAUCAUCAAAGCCUUUCUCCGUGUGCAGAAACAUGAUGAAAACGCGUCGGUUCUUGGAGCUGAAUGUGCUCAACUGUGUAUUUAUGAGCUCUGUUGAUGUUUACUCGAGUGCUGCUUCGGGCUCCCUGCAGCCCGAGCGCGGCCCAGGAGCAGAUAGGCCCCAGCCUGGGGGCCCCAGGUACAGGCUGAAUGUGCGCCAGUGGGACAUCCGCGACUUGACAGCUGCAUGAAGCUUUUCAGCGUUGUAAUUUCAGAUAAUAUCCCGAGCGCUCACUCUUCUCGGCAAUUUGUAUAUGAAUAACCGAAUAAUUUUCCCUUUUGUUCCAUCUGUGCUACCUCAAAUCCAAAUAAAGAUGCCUUUUAGUAUUAAAAGUGGUAGAAAAUUACAGGUAAUUAUCUUUGACGGUAAAAACGCUGUAAUCAGCGGGCUACAUCAAAAAUUACCCUAAUUAUGCCUGCAUUUAUGAGAAUGGAGGAGAAAAAAAAGCCUCACUUGGAUAAAAACCCACAAAUUGUCCCAAAUAUCUCCUUCAUAUUGAACGCCACUGCAGCUGGCUGCUUUGUUCAACAUCGAUCCCGUGGAGCUUGGCAUUUAACGGCCUGCAUUAGGACGGAGAGAAGGGAGAAAACAUUUUGUCAAUACUUCUAAUAAUUGAGGGUGAAAUGACAAGAUAAGCUGGACCUGGAGCAAAUGUCUUUCGAGGUGAAUGUAGACAGCAGCGGUGGAGGUGCCUCUCCCUGGCUUUUCCAUCACGCCCACCUUCCUCUCAUGUCGUCCCCCCACCCCCCCAUCAACCAAGUCCAUGUCCAGCCACCGGUCUCCCAUGUCGUCCCCUUCUCUCCUCUCCAUCUCCCUCUUCAUACCCACUCUACCCCUCUCUCCCUAACCCCACACCUCUCUCCCCCUCUUUCUCCCUCCCCCCAAUAGGUACGCCUCCAUCCCCUCUUGGCAGCUCCGUCUCCUCCUCGCCUCCCCCUGUCUCUCCACCCUCUCCCUGGUUGGUUUCCACAGCUGUGGUGAGUGAGGGGCAGAUGACCGGAGAAUUGGCCCCUGGGAGAGCGCUGAGCCAUCCUGGUGCUAUUAGGCUCGUGGCUAAUAAUAGGUGUUUCAGACCGGGGGAAGAUCAAUCAGGGGGAAUCAUGGGGAAUGUUCAGAGCAGCGCUUUUUACACAUCGGCCCAGAUGGAUGAAAUUACACUUGUCAGUUUUUAGUUGCAUUACUCCCAAAUUGGUUGUCUACUCUUUUUUCUCCUCUCCCUCUCCCUCCCUCUCUCUCACUCUCUCUUCUCUCCUUUCUCUCUCUUUGCCCCCAUUCAUGUGUCAGUGGCCUGCUAAAAGGAUUCGGUGGUGAAAUCCGUGUCAUUUUUGUCUUUUCCCUGUUAUCCCUCAGCCUGCAACUCUUUUUUUGCCCUGCAUAUAUGCACUUAGAAGGAAUCAGUUGAAGAUGUUGUCUUAUGGCUCGGACAAUUUCCGUGUUAAAGGCAAGCGUGCCGAUGACAUUCUGUGUGUGUUCUGCAUGUAUAAUAAAACAAUGUGAUUUAGUCAUUUUCAAACAUUCACAGCAGAAUCAAAUAAACUGAUCAAUUUACAGAAUAUUCAUGUGCAAUAUUCAUAAUCAAUCAAUUAUUUCAAUGAUUUUUUUUCAGCCAAAAUGCCAAAUAAUCACUGUUUUCUGCCUUUGCAAAAUGAGGAUUAUUUUUUUUUCUGCAUAAUGUCAUUUUGAGUUUUGAACAAUUUUUUAAGGAUGCCACUUUUUUUUACCUCAGGAAAAUGAUGAUGGACAUAUAUUUUGUUUGACUUUUGUCAUCAGAAAGUAUUCCAUCCUAUAGCUGUAACUAGUGUGAAAUAAAGGUUUGAAAUCAUGACGCAUUUCCAGUAUUGGGAUUUACAGAGUUUAAACCAAAUGUGUAAAAUGCAGUAAUUAUAUUGUAACUGCAGAAAAAUCCUGUAUAAUUAAAUGUAAUUAAAUCUGCCAAUAGCAAAGGAAACAUUCAGCCUGUAUGUCACUGUUUGAAACUGAAUAAAAGUCACCACACAAUGUU